AGGGCACCACCAGGAGUGGAGCCUGCGGCUUAAUUUGACUCAACACGGGAAAUCUCACCAGGCCCGGACACUGGAAGGAUUGACAGAUUGAGAGCUCUUUCUCGAUUCGGUGGGUGGUGGUGCAUGGCCGUUCUUAGUUGGUGGAGUGAUUUGUCUGGUUAAUUCCGAUAACGAACGAGACUCUGUCCUGCUAAAUAGAGACAGGAUUAUUACUGUCCUGGAUUCUUCUUAGAGGGACAAGUGGUUUUCAGCCACACGAAAUUGAGCAAUAACAGGUCUGUGAUGCCCUUAGAUGUCCGGGGCUGCACGCGCGCUACACUGAAGGAAUCAGCGUGCUAAAACCAUUGUCGAAAGGCAUUGGUAAACCCAUCAAAAUCCUACGUGAUUGGGAUCGGGAAUUGCAAUUAUUUCCCUUGAACGAGGAAUUCCCAGUAAGUGUGGGUCAUAAGCUCGCGUUGAUUACGUCCCUGCCCUUUGUACACACCGCCCGUCGCUGCCCGGGACUGAGCCGUUUCGAGA
rnacentral:rRNA from 1 species